GAUCGAUGUGGAAUAGGAUGGAAGAAAUAUUUCUCGGUGUUGAGAAAGAGAGUCAACGUGUCAAAGCUGAGAGGUGGGGGAGACAACCCAGCUACCCAAGGGAAGCCCGAAAGCUCUCAAGUGCAUUAGAUAUGAGGAU